rnacentral:sRNA from 1 species
AUGACAAUAUCUGUGCCUAAUGUAACAGUAAAAGAUAGUGCUACACUGAAAGGAAAGGAGAACAUGGUGUCUACAGUUACUGUUCCAACAUUCAUAGAUGACAACGUUCAGAUUGCCAUGGCAACCACAGUGGAUUUAGUCGAAAUACAACCGCAAUCUGAAAUCAUAAUUCCAGUACAUGUUGGAAAGUUUAAACAUGGAACAACAGUAAUUUUAGAACCUAAAGGAAACUUAUCCAUUGAACAUCAAGGUAGCAGGAGGGAAGACAAUUUCUACAGUGUUAAGAGGCAUAGCUUCAUACAGACUUAUGAAUCCUACAAAUUCAACCAGUUUACAUUCCAAGAAGGACUAAAAUUGCGAAAGCCGAAACUAUACAGUCUAAGUUUGUUACAAAGUUCACAGAAGGAUCAUCUGCUCCUAUAAACUCUCUUAGUGAAACAACUAGUAAUCAACUUUGUAGUGAACUUUCAGAACUAGGAUUUAAUUUAGACAAUUUAGAACUUACAGUGGAACAAAAACAACAAAUUCAAAAUUUUCUAAUUCAAAAUAGGGACAUAUUUGCAAAGGAUUUAAGUGAACUGGGACAUACCAACUUGCAUUACCACACAAUUUAUACUGGUGAUGCAAAACCAAUUAGUGCUGCUCCAUAUAGACAAUCUCCACAAAUGCGCAAAGAACUAGACAAACAACUUGAUGAAAUGGAAAGAAAUAAUAUUAUUGAGGAAUCUACUUCACCAUGGCAUAGUCCAGUCGUACUUGUUAAGAAAAGAAAUGGAAGUAUACGCGUAUGUGUAGAUUAUAGAGCUUUAAACCGUAUAACAGAACCCAUGUCAGCAGUGAUUCCAACUAUGACAGAUAUAUUUGACACUUUAGCAGAUUCAAAACCAGAACUAUUUUCAUCUCUCGAUUUAACGUCAGGAUUUUGGCAGGUCCCGCUAGACCCAACAACAAAGCAUAAAAGUGCAUUCAUUACACAUAAAGGUGUAUAUGAAUUUAAUAGACUUCCGUUUGGUAUGAUGAACUCUCCAUUAACUUUUCAAUGUUUAAUGACAAAAGUGCUAAAGGAUUUAAAUUUCAAAAUUGCAUUGGUUUACAUCGAUGACAUUCUGAUUUUCUCAAAGAACUUUGAAGACCACCUUAAUCACCUUCAACAAGUGUUUUCAAACCUACGUGAAGCAAACCUGAAACUUAAUCCUGAAAAAUGUAAAUUCGCAACAAGAACAAUCAAGUAUCUGGGACAUGUUAUAUCAAAAGAUGGCAUCCGCGUCAAUCCUGAAAAUACAGAAAAAGUUAAGGACUUCUCAAGACCAACCACUGCAAAGCAAGUUAAAAGUUUUUUAGGAAUGGCAAACUACUAUAGGAAAUUUGUGAAAGACUAUGCCCACAUAGCAGCUCCAUUAACAAAGCUUUUAAAGAAAGAUCAAAGAUUCAAGUGGACUUCAGAAUGUGAUAUUAGCGUUUCAAAAUUUAAAAGACCGUUUGACAUCAGCUCCAAUUUUAUCGUUUCCUCAUUUAGACAAACCUUUCAUUUUAGCAACAGAUUCUUCAGAGUUUUCAAAUGGAUAUAUUUUAAGCCAGAUUCAAAAUGGAUUAGAACAUGUGAUUGCUUAUGGAGGUAGACAAUUAAGGGGUUCAGAACUUAAGUGGCAUAUUACUGACAAAGAAGCUUUAGCAUUAGUAGAAGGAGUUCAACAUUUUAAACAUUAUUUGGCAAAUCAAGAGUUCACAGUGUAUACAGACAAUAUUUCAGUAAAAUACCUUCAGAAAAUCAAAGAUUGUCAGGGAAGACUUGGUAGGUGGAGUUUGCUAUUACAAGGAUAUAAUUUUAAAAUUCAACAUCGUGCAGGAUCUAAAAACCCAGCAGACUGCUUAUCCAGACAAAAACAUUUAGAAAUUAACAAUAGUGCUUCUUAUGACUCUAGUGAACUUGCAGACCAUUUAGGCUCCAUAGAUAUACCGAAAGAAUAUACCGAAGUAACAUUUAUAUAUAAGGGUGAAAAUGAAGAUGCAGUUAUUUCAAGUUUACAAACCGUGACAAUUAAUGAUAUUCAAUUAACCAAUUUAGCCGAAGAACAAGAGACAUUGUAGAGACUUUGCCGAUAUUAUUAAAUACAAACAGACAGGAAGAGUACCACAGAAUCCAGAACUUGCAAGGGCAGUCGUAGCAGAAUCUUACAACUUUGAGUUAGAAGAUGGAAUUUUAAAACACUUCUACUCAAAACGUUGUAAGAAAGUGCCAAAAGAUGAACGACUUGUCAAACAGAUUGCAGUUCCAAGGAAUCUCCGUGAUUCAAUACUCAAGGCCUAUCAUGACUGCAUUCUGGGAGGAGGACAUCAAGGAUUUGAAGCGAACAUAUGCUGCAAUUAGAAACAAAUAUUUUUGGCCAUCGAUGUAUAGUGACAUUAAUCAAUAUGUAAAAACGUGUGAAGUGUGCCAGCAGUCCAAACGCGCUUUUCAAUUCAAAACCACCACCUUUACAACCACAACCAACAAAUGAUAUUUUCGGACGAUGGCAUAUGGAUAUUUUAAGUGGCCUUCCAACAACCUAAAGAUAAAUACAAACAUGUUCUACUCGUAGUUGAUAGUUAUUCAAAAUGGUGUGAAGCUUUUCCGUUAAGAUCUGAAGAAGCAGGUGAAGUUGCAAAUGUGUUAUAUAGAGAAAUAAUAUCCCGUUAUGGUGCUCCUAGAACUCUUUUAUCUGACCGCGGACGUAAUUUUGUUUCAAAUUUAGUUAAAGCUCUUUCGGAACUGUUCAAUAUUAAAAGACAUCUUACAAGCUCAUACCAUCCGCAGACAAAUGGUGCAUGUGAAAGAAUGAACUCUGUAAUUUUACAAGCAUUAAGAGCCUAUACAAAAGAUCAACAAGAUGAUUGGUAUGAUGUGCUACCAGGAAUUUUAAUGGCUUAUCGUGCUACACCUGCAACUCAAUCGACUGAUUAUUCACCAUUCUUUUUACUCUAUGGACGAGAAAUGACAUUACCCAUUGACACCGCAUUAAUACCAAAAGAUCGUUUGGCACAAGAUCACAAAAUAUUUUUAAGCAGAAUUCUUCAAAAUUUAGAAACUUCAAGAAAAAUAGCUGCUAAGAACAUCAGACAAGCUCAAGAAAGAUAUAAACAACAAUAUGACAAAAAAUCUAAAGAACCUGAAUUUCAACCAGCUCAACGUGUUUGGCUUUAUUGUACCAAAGUUCCUGUCGGAAAAGCACCAAAAUUACAUAGAAAAUGGUCAGGACCUUAUUAUAUAACCCGCAUUGGACCAAAUAGUACUUACAAACUUAGGAAUUGUGCAACAAACAAAGAGGUUGUGUCGAUGGUAAACGCGCAACGAAUGAAGCCAUAUUACGAUCCAAAAGACAGACCGACUAAUUUACCAGAUGAAUUUCAAAAUGACAAUGAAGAACUGAAUCCAGAAGAAAUACAAGAUGACAACAUCAAUUGAUAAUGAUCAACUUUUACCAAACAAUCGUCAACAACCUGUGCCACCAAUCAACAACAAUGGAAUUAAUAGGCAACAACCACCUAUUCCUGUAAUUAACAACAAUAGGCCAACUCAGAACCAACAACAACUUCCUGUUGAUAGAAUCAACAACAGACAACAACAAAAUCAACAACCAGCACAAAAUAGUGAAACAAAUAAGAGAACUGUAGGCCCUUCAGUAGAUUCAACCGUAAAUGCACCAGUUAAAGACAACAAGCCAUCUUGUCAGGAUUGUAAGAACAAUAAGUGCAAAGCAUUCAAAGAAGAGGAGAUUCAACAAGUUCUAUCAUCAGUCAGAGGUAAUGGAACAUUAUACUAUAAACUUAAGUUUACCGAUAAAUCAAGAAACACAGAAUGGUAUUUCUCAUGCAAGGUUCCAGCAAAAUUAAUACGAGAAUUUCAUGCGCAACGUACAAUGAGUGGUAAGAAAAGAAAACGUCCAUUACAGCAGAAUAAACAUAAAUUUUUCACAAAACCGGAUCCAGCUGUUAAUAGUGUACAAUAUAUUUCAACUAAAGUCAAAGCUGAUAUAAGCACACAAACUGAAACCAUAAAUGAACAAAAUCAAGGAAAUGAAAUCAACAGUUAUUGGCUGUGA